rnacentral:lncRNA from 1 species
UGUUAGCAUCUUUAUUUUAUGUGAUGUCUUUAAAAGCAAAUUCUGGUGUCGAAGUUUGGUCCAAGUUUCAAAAUGCCUCUUCUUAAAGAUCUGUUUACCUGCAUUGUAUAGAGAGGCCUAGCCCAUCUGCAAUGCCAUCUUCUGGAAUGGGAGAAAAUGGUUUAACUGAACUGAUAUAUUUUCAGAACUAAGAGACUUGGCCGGGCACAGUGGCUCACACCUGUAAUCCCAGCACUUUGGAAGGCCAACAUGGGUGGAUCAUCUGAGGCCAGGAGUUUGAGACCAGCCAGCCAGCCUGGCAAACAUGGUGAAACCCCGUCUCUUCCAAAAAUACAAAAAUUAGCUGGGUGUGGUGAGGCAUGCCUGUAGUCCCAGCUACUGAGGAGGCUUAGGUGGGAGAAUGGCUUGAACCCAGGAGGUGGAGGUUGCAGUGAGCCAAGAUCACACCACUGCACUCCAGCCUGAAAGACAGAGUGAGACACUGUCUCAGAGAAAAAAAAAGAAAUGAGACUAAUUCAAGAAUAUAUGGACAAUAUAUUUAAAUUUGCUCUUUUUUGCUUGUCCCAAAUUUUUCCCACUCCUUUGCCUAUCUCUAUCUAACAACUUCUAACCCAAAUCUCUCCAAAGCCAUCAACAUGGCUUUUAAUAUGUGAAAGUUUUUUGAAGUUUCAAAGUAGGACUGACAGAAAUAAAAAUAUUUUACCCCCAAAAUAUCCUUCUUUGAUACAUUUUGAGGUGUCUGUUCAGAGAGCCAGCAAACAGAAGUAGCCCUGCAAAGUUGUCUUUCGUGGGGAGAUUUGCAUCAUACAGAAUCUGCCUUGAUGCAGCCUGGCUUCUUCUGAGCCUUCCCUUGUUUGAUGUAGGAAAGAUUAACUGAGAGUUUGACACCUUUGAAGGUGGGAAACAUUUACCAUGUAUUCUUUCUGAAGGCUGCUACCUGUGAGGUUUCAUCUACAUAGCAAGACCACCUUUGCUAGCCAGGCCUCCUCUUCUCUCCCCGCCAUAACCUGUCAUGCACCAUAACCUGAUUUACCACCAUAACUUGUUUUGGGCCAUUCUCUGAGCUCCCAUUCUCUUGGUAACCUCAAGAUGGUAUGUAAGCUUCUGUACCCCACUGGGUGUUUGGAGUAAUCAUUCUGUGGUUCUUUCCUAUGUGCACAUAAAUAAAUUCG